AGUGAACGCUGGCGGUAGGCCUAACACAUGCAAGUCGAACGGCAGCACAGCAAGAGCUUGCUCUUACGGGUGGCGAGUGGCGGACGGGUGAGGAAUACAUCGGAAUCUACUUUUUCGUGGGGGAUAACGUAGGGAAACUUACGCUAAUACCGCAUACGACCUACGGGUGAAAGCAGGGGAUCUUCGGACCUUGCGCGAUUGAAUGAGCCGAUGUCGGAUUAGCUAGUUGGCGGGGUAAAGGCCCACCAAGGCGACGAUCCGUAGCUGGUCUGAGAGGAUGAUCAGCCACACUGGAACUGAGACACGGUCCAGACUCCUACGGGAGGCAGCAGUGGGGAAUAUUGGACAAAGGGCGCAAGCCUGAUCCAGCCAUACCGCGUGGGUGAAGAAGGCCUUCGGGUUGUAAAGCCCUUUUGUUGGGAAAGAAAGGCAGCAGGUUAAUACCCCGCUGUUCUGACGGUACCCAAAGAAUAAGCACCGGCUAACUUCGUG
rnacentral:rRNA from 1 species